rnacentral:rRNA from 1 species
GACGAACGCUGGCGGCGUGCUUAACACAUGCAAGUCGAGCGGAAAGGCCCUUCGGGGUACUCGAGCGGCGAACGGGUGAGUAACACGUGAGCAACCUGCCUUCAGCUCUGGGAUAAGCCUGGGAAACUGGGUCUAAUACCGGAUAUGACUUUUGCCCGCAUGGGUGAGAGUGGAAAGAUUUAUUGGCUGAAGAUGGGCUCGCGGCCUAUCAGCUUGUUGGUGGGGUGAUGGCCUACCAAGGCUUUUACGGGUAGCCGGCCUGAGAGGGCGACCGGCCACACUGGGACUGAGACACGGCCCAGACUCCUACGGGAGGCAGCAGUGGGGAAUAUUGCACAAUGGGCGGAAGCCUGAUGCAGCAACGCCGCGUGAGGGAUGACGGCCUUCGGGUUGUAAACCUCUUUCAGCGGGGACGAAGCGCAAGUGACGGUACCCGCAGAAGAAGCGCCGGCCAACUACGUGCCAGCAGCCGCAGUAA